rnacentral:misc_RNA from 1 species
UUAAAGAGUCUAGCUCAACUAGAUAAGAGCAGUGGAAACUACAAAGCUAGAGUUUGGUCGGGGCAGAAGGAAUUCCUGGUGUAGCGGUGAAAUGCGUAGAUAUCAGGAAGAACACCGGUGGCGAAGGCGUUCUGCUAGGCCGAGACUGACACUGAGGGACGAAAGCUAGGGGAGCGAAUGGGAUUAGAUACCCCAGUAGUCCUAGCCGUAAACGAUGGAUACUAGGCGUAGCUCGUAUCGACCCGAGCUGUGCCGGAGCUAACGCGUUAAGUAUCCCGCCUGGGGAGUACGCAGGCAACUGUGAAACUCAAAGGAAUUGACGGGGGCCCGCACAAGCGGUGGAGUAUGUGGUUUAAUUCGAUGCAACGCGAAGAACCUUACCAAGGCUUGACAUGUCACGAAUCUUGUAGAAAUAUAGGAGUGCCUUCGGGAGCGUGAACACAGGUGGUGCAUGGCUGUCGUCAGCUCGUGUCGUGAGAUGUUGGGUUAAGUCCCGCAACGAGCGCAACCCUCGUUUUUAGUUGCCAGCAUUAGGUUGGGCACUCUAGAGAGACUGCCGGUGACAAACCGGAGGAAGGUGGGGAUGACGUCAAGUCAGCAUGCCCCUUACGUCUUGGGCUACACACGUACUACAAUGCUACGGACAAAGGGCAGCUACACAGCGAUGUGAUGCGAAUCUCAUAAACCGUAGCUCAGUUCAGAUCGAAGGCUGCAACUCGCCUUCGUGAAGGAGGAAUCGCUAGUAAUUGCAGGUCAGCAUACUGCAGUGAAUUCGUUCCCGGGCCUUGUACACACCGCCCGUCACACCAUGGAAGUUGGUCACGCCCGAAGUCGUUACCCCAACCGAGAGGAGGGGGAUGCCUAAGGUAGGACUGAUUACUGGGGUGAAGUCGUAACAAGGUAGCCGUACCGGAAGGUGUGGCUGGAUCACCUCCUUUUAGGGAGACCUAAUCCAUUUAGAAAUCGAAAACAAUGAAGAUUGUCAAUAGAAACUAAAGUGGUCUAACCUAGGUCGUUCGAGAUUGGUAGAUAUCUUUCAAAGUAUUAUUCGGCUUUGUUCAAAACCAUAGAUCAUAAAUGGAAAAAAGACAGCACCUAAUUGUCAAAGUUAGACUGCUGGAUGAAAUUCCAGCCAGAACCUUGAAAACUGCAUAAGAGAACGAGAAAAAGCAGGCAGACACAGACA